rnacentral:lncRNA from 7 species
AUUAUCCAAGAGAAAAUGCGUGAUUUUUGGGUGAAAUGGGGUAAUUUUGAAGGGAAAUGUAUUAUUUUGGGGCUAAAUGGGAGAUUUCCGAAGAAAAUUGUGUUUUUAUCAGGUUAAAUGGGGGAUUCUCGAAGAGAAAAUGCAUGGUUUUGGAUUAAAUGGGGGAUUUCUGAAAAGAAAAUGUGGACUUUCGGGUUAGAUCAGGGAUUCCUGAAGAGAAAAUGCAUCAUUUUUGGGUUACAUGGGGGAUUUCCGAAGAGAAAUAACGUUUUUUUGAGUUAAGUGGGGGGGGGUUUUUGAAGAGAAAAUGCAUGAUCUUCGUUUACACAUGAGAUUGAUUGUAGAGGAAAUGCGUGGCUUUCAGGUUAAAUGGGGGAUUCUUGUAGCGAAAGCGUUGAUGGGGCGUGAAAAUGCGGAUUUUUGAAGAGAAAUGAGUGAUUUUCAGAGUUAAAAGGGUGACUUUUCAAGAGAAAAUGCGUUGAAUUAUUGGGUUUAAUGGGGGCAUUCUCGAAGAGAAAAUCCUAUUUUGGGUUAAUGGGGUAAUUUUUGAAGAGAAAAU